rnacentral:rRNA from 1 species
UACGAACUGUGCGAACGUUAUUCGGAAUCACUGGGCUUAAAGGGCGCGUAGGCGGGCUGUCAAGUCUGGGGUGAAAUCCCGCGGCUCAACCGUGGAACUGCCUCAGAUACUGACGGCCUCGAGGGAGAUAGGGGCGAGCGGAACUAAUGGUGGAGCGGUGAAAUGCGUUGAUAUCAUUAGGAACUCCGGUGGCGAAGGCGGCUCGCUGGAUCUUUUCUGACGCUGAGGCGCGAAAGCUAGGGGAGCAAACGGG